AUAGUUUUUUACAACUUAAUUACUUACAUGUUAAAAGAAAACGUAACCUGGUAAGUGGUAACCAUAGUUAAUUUCUGUUUCGUUCCGUUUUUCUACCGCACAUGGAUCUGUUAUGUCGCAAAUAUCUGCCCAUAGCCUGGAUUUGCGUCGACCGUGAACCGUUGGGAGACGCCGUGACGAUGAUGGCUGUUUAUCAGUUUAUGCGUCAAGGAUAGCCGGACUGGGAGGUGUAUCUUUAUUCGGGUUCCGCAGAGUUUCUUCUCGGUCGGAUAAGCGGAUGCGGAAGCAACAGAAUGGAUCUGACGUCUACUGGCAACAGUACAGAAGCGAGCAGAUGCUGGUGGACACCCUUAAGGGAAUCUUUUGUUUUGCCCGCGGGGACUUUCAGGCUGCCGCCGAUUUAUUGGAAAGUGCAUUGUUAGUGCGCAAAGACAAUCAUCUCUUCCUUAUUACUUAUUCCGCUGCCUGUGCGAUGCUCCAGCGGGAUCCACGACAUUCUCCGAAAUAUCUCAAACGCGCCUUGCAGCACUACGCUGAUUCGCUGUUGCGGACAUGUAUCCCGGUUUGUGGACUUGACUGCAGGAUCGCGACAUCGAGUACGGCGUGGUGACGAUACUUUUCAUGCUCAUGUUGUUGUAAAUACUGUGCUAUCUUCUUGAAAUACAUAAGGUGGCGCGCAGUCAUUUGGUGAAAUCCCAUGCUCUUUUGCCCGUCGAUCCUGUUAUCGUGCGAACCCUCACUGACUAUCUGACGGUGGCCUACAAGGAUGCCGAAACGCUGCAGAUUGUGCAACAAACGUUGAGCAGUCGGGUGUUUUGGAAUGAAGCUGCUCGAUGGGAUGCACUUGCUGCUCGCGCUGCUCUGCUCUGGCAAUAAAGUUGAAUGAACUGUGGAUGGAAUGUAUCAGUUAUCCUGCGACAGAGUAUUUUAGAUUUUCCCCAAGAACGGUCAGUCUGCAACUUUAAAUGCUACAAGCGGAAAUGCUUUGACGGUAACGUUUAAUGGUUUCUGAUAGCCUGGUUCUAGAGCUAAUGGGUAAUGCGCUGGCUUUCCGUGGAAAUUACGGUUAUGCGUAAUGGACUUUCGGGAAUGUUGUAGAGGAAUUCGGAAGCGCUCCUGAGCUGACCGCAUAUAGCUUUUACCGGCGUCCGGCGUUAUCAUUAAGCAAACGAUGGACGAAGAGGCCGAGUUGGAGCUCGUGCAGUUGAGGGAGCAGUUGCCGUGGUUCCGCUAUAUGGGCCUGCAGAACCUGAUCUUACUAUCCAUUGGGAAAGCGCAGUUGGCCUUUGAGGAGUAUCGCCCGCGAAAAACCUUGCAAGCCAUUCAAACUGCAGUAGAUCUCUUAACCGAAAUUGUCCUAUCCGGAAAUGUGUCUGUGAUGGUGUGGACGCUCCAAGCGAUGCAUGCAACGCCCUGGAGGGUUAGACUAUCGCGUUAGACUAUAGCUAUUUUGAUAUUAUGGGCGAGAGCAGCAAAUCCUGUAUGUUGACCUGCAUUCUCGCAGAAUGGGCGGGUUUGUUGCGGACCGGAUUGGAUUAGGCCCAGAAUACACUGCAACUGUGCGCCGACGAAACUGGCGUCGCGUUCCGCGAGCUGCAGCAGAAACUUGUGGAUGCAUCCACAAGUUUUAUAUGGCACGGUUCUUGAGCGAAGUCAACCGGCACAGUGAAGCUCUGGAUAUGUUAAGAAGUAUGCAGGGGAACCAUCACGGGGCAGCAUACUAUUUGUUCUUGCUGCUGGUGCACUUCCAACUGGGUAACUAGAAGGACGCCGACGGAUUAAUGGUUGUGCUGGCUGAGAUGGAUGCUGGCGAUGCACAAUUCAGUGGAUGCGUGCAGCUGUUGCGCUGAGUCGUGAAGCUGUACUGGUUGAUGCAAAGCGGCGGUGUGGAUGCUGGCAGUAUAGAUACUAUGCCCGAGUAAGUUUUGGCUGAAUUUGAUUCGGCAUGAUCCUGCAUUGGUUUUUUCUUCGACUGAAUGAAGCCACUCCGUCUGCCAUACGACAGCGUGAUUGCUAUCGGUAACUGAUCGGCGAAAGGGCACAUUCAACUGUAGAAGAUCUUGCCGGUUCCUAGUGGAAUCAUUGUCGCUAGUCAAAUGCUUCGCAUGCGUCCGGAACGCCCGGAUGUGUGUCUAUAUGUGGCCGAAGCGCUGCAGUCUUCCGACGUGGAGUUGUCACAACAUUUCGCAUUCACUGCCAUCAUGCUCAGCGAGUGGAUAUGUGGCGACCACGGAGUGGCCGUGCAGCCGCGUCACCUGCCAACCGGUGCUAACCGCAUCCUUUACCAUUCCCAGCUGCAGCUCAACAUUCUCCAUUUUCUUCUGAAGGGCGGACAAGGGACGGCAGCUACAGCAACAGGCGGUACGAUUGAUUCCGUGGUUAAUUGGUUGAUUGAUGUAGCUUUGCGAGGCAAUAAAGUGACCGGGCUUUCCAUUUUUUUGUUACAGUUGGUCUUUAACAGUUAUUAUUUUAAUACAAUCAUUUGCGUGCUUUCCUACCUGCGGACAGCACAUUAAGCGCGUUUACUAAUAAAAUAAAACAUAA